UACGGAGGAUCCAAGCGUUAUCCGGAUUUAUUGGGUUUAAAGGGUGCGUAGGCGGAUUGAUAAGUUAGAGGUGAAAUGUCCGAGCUCAACUCGGGAACUGCCCCUAAUACUGUAGAUCUAGAGAGUAGAUGCGGUAGGCGGAAUGUAUGGUGUAGCGGUGAAAUGCUUAGAGAUCAUACAGAACACCGAUUGCGAAGGCAGCUUACCAAUCUAUAUCUGACGUUGAGGCACGAAAGCGUGGGGAGCAAACAGG
rnacentral:rRNA from 1 species